CCCACCCCUUCUCCCGCGACAGGCUGAUUUCUGCCGCAGUCCCUGACCAAGAUUUAGCGUCGGGUUCUUCCCCUUGAGAGAAAGGUGGCUUCAAGAAGAGCAGUGGCACGUCCUAGAUUCAGGCUUGGGGGAAGAAUGAGGUGAACUUUCUUGUUUCAUCUACCAAGGGGCUGCUUGGCUUUGAAGACAUGCUGUCCCUCUCCCAGAUUCUGCUCUCUGAAGUCUCAUG